GACGAACGCUGGCGGCGUGCUUAAUACAUGCAAGUUGAGCGAUGAAGGUUGGUAUUGGUACUUACUGGAUGAGCAGCGAACGGGUGAGUAAAGCGGGGGGAAUCUCCCUUUGAGCGGGGGACAACAGUUAGAAGCGAAUGUUAAUACCGCAUAAAAACUUCAAAAACAAGUUUUAAGUUAGAAUGAUGCAGUUGCAUAACUUAAAGAUGAUCCCGCGUUGUGUUAGCUAGUUGGUGAGGUAAAGGCUCUACAAGGCGAUGAUACAUAGCCGCCCUGAGCGGGUGAUCGGCCGCAUUGGGACUGAGACACGGCCCAUACUCCUACAGGAGGCAGCAGUAGGGAAUCUUCAGGGAUGGACGGAAGUCUGACCAAGCAACGCCGCGUGAGUGAAGAAGGUUUUCGGAUCGUGAAACUCUGUUAGUAGAGAAGAACGUUGGUGAGAGUGGAAAGCGCAUCAAGUGACGGUAACUACCCAGAAAGCGACGGCUAACUACGUG
rnacentral:rRNA from 1 species